rnacentral:rRNA from 1 species
AAAUAGCUUUAGGGCUAGCCUCAAGUGAUGAUUAUUGGAGGUAGAGCACUGUUUGGACGAGGGGCCCCUCUCGGGUUACCGAAUUCAGACAAACUCCGAAUGCCAAUUAAUUUAACUUGGGAGUCAGAACAUGGGUGAUAAGGUCCGUGUUCGAAAGGGAAACAGCCCAGACCACCAGCUAAGGUCCCAAAAUAUAUGUUAAGUGGAAAAGGAUGUGGCGUUGCCCAGACAACUAGGAUGUUGGCUUAGAAGCAGCCAUCAUUUAAAGAGUGCGUAAUAGCUCACUAGUCGAGUGACACUGCGCCGAAAAUGUACCGGGGCUAAACAUAUUACCGAAGCUGUGGAUUGUCCUUUGGACAAUGGUAGGAGAGCGUUCUAAGGGCGUUGAAGCAUGAUCGUAAGGACAUGUGGAGCGCUUAGAAGUGAGAAUGCCGGUGUGAGUAGCGAAAGACGGGUGAGAAUCCCGUCCACCGAUUGACUAAGGUUUCCAGAGGAAGGCUCGUCCGCUCUGGGUUAGUCGGGUCCUAAGCUGAGGCCGACAGGCGUAGGCGAUGGAUAACAGGUUGAUAUUCCUGUACCACCUAUAAUCGUUUUAAUCGAUGGGGGGACGCAGUAGGAUAGGCGAAGCGUGCGAUUGGAUUGCACGUCUAAGCAGUAAGGCUGAGUAUUAGGCAAAUCCGGUACUCGUUAAGGCUGAGCUGUGAUGGGGAGAAGACAUUGUGUCUUCGAGUCGUUGAUUUCACACUGCCGAGAAAAGCCUCUAGAUAGAAAAUAGGUGCCCGUACCGCAAACCGACACAGGUAGUCAAGAUGAGAAUUCUAAGGUGAGCGAGCGAACUCUCGUUAAGGAACUCGGCAAAAUGACCCCGUAACUUCGGGAGAAGGGGUGCUCUUUAGGGUUAACGCCCAGAAGAGCCGCAGUGAAUAGGCCCAAGCGACUGUUUAUCAAAAACACAGGUCUCUGCUAAACCGUAAGGUGAUGUAUAGGGGCUGACGCCUGCCCGGUGCUGGAAGGUUAAGAGGAGUGGUUAGCUUCUGCGAAGCUACGAAUCGAAGCCCCAGUAAACGGCGGCCGUAACUAUAACGGUCCUAAGGUAGCGAAAUUCCUUGUCGGGUAAGUUCCGACCCGCACGAAAGGCGUAACGAUUUGGGCACUGUCUCAACGAGAGACUCGGUGAAAUCAUAGUACCUGUGAAGAUGCAGGUUACCCGCGACAGGACGGAAAGACCCCGUGGAGCUUUACUGUAGCCUGAUAUUGAAAUUCGGCACAGCUUGUACAGGAUAGGUAGGAGCCUUUGAAACGUGAGCGCUAGCUUACGUGGAGGCGCUGGUGGG